rnacentral:rRNA from 1 species
AUUGAACGCUGGCGGCAGGCUUAACACAUGCAAGUCGAGCGGAGAUGAGGUGCUUGCACCUUAUCUUAGCGGCGGACGGGUGAGUAAUGCUUAGGAAUCUGCCUAUUAGUGGGGGACAACAUUCCGAAAGGAAUGCUAAUACCGCAUACGCCCUACGGGGGAAAGCAGGAGAUCUUCGGACCUUGCGCUAAUAGAUGAGCGUAAGUCGGAUUAGGUAGUUGGGGGGGGAAAGGCCUACCAAGGCGACGAUCUGUAGCGGGUCUGAGAGGAUGAUCCGCCACACUGGGACUGAGACACGGCCCAGACUCCUACGGGAGGCAGCAGUGGGGAAUAUUGGACAAUGGGCGGAAGCCUGAUCCAGCCAUGCCGCGUGUGUGAAGAAGGCCUUUUGGUUGUAAAGCACUUUAAGCGAGGAGGAGGCUACCUGGAUUAAUACUCUAGGAUAGUGGACGUUACUCGCAGAAUAAGCACCGGCUAACUCUGUGCCAGCCGCCGCCGUAACAC